rnacentral:rRNA from 1 species
UUGUAGGCUGCAUUUUAAGCUAUAUUUAAAAUAUUGAUUCUAUCUUUCAAUUAAGAAUAUAAUACACUAAUGCUUGAGUAUAGCAGAGGACAACAGAAUUUCAUACGGAAGAGUAAAAUCUAUUGAUUUAUGAAGGAAUGCCAGCGGCGAAAGCGGUUGUCUGGGCUAUUAACUGACGCUGAGGAACGAAAGCAUGGGGAGCAAAUAGGAUUAGAUACCCUAGUAGUCCAUGCUGUCAAAGAUGAGUGCUAAUAUUGAAUGUUUUUUUGAUAUACAGUUAACACGUUAAGCACUCCGCCUGAGGAGUACGACCGCAAGGUUGGAACUCAAAGGAAUUGACGGGGAUUUACACAAGUGGUGGAACAUGUUGUUUAAUGCGAUAAUACGCGCGAAAUCUUACCAGUUUUUGAAUAU